GGGCGCAUAGCGCAGUGGUAGCGCGUCCGCUUUGCAAGCGGAAGGCCCGGGGUUCAAUCCCCGGUGUGUCCA
rnacentral:tRNA from 1 species